UACCAGCACCCCGAGUGGUCGGGACGAUUAUUGGGCCUAAAGCAUCCGUAGCCGGUUCUACAAGUCUUCCGUUAAAUCCACCUGCUCAACAGAUGGGCUGCGGAGGAUACUAUAGAGCUAGGAGGCGGGAGAGGCAAGCGGUACUUAGUGGGUAGGGGUAAAAUCCGUUGAUCCAUUGAAGACCACCAGUGGCGAAGGCGGCUUGCCAGAACGCACUCGACGGUGAGGGAUGAAAGCGUGGGGAGCAAACAGG
rnacentral:rRNA from 1 species